rnacentral:rRNA from 1 species
GUGGGGAAUAUUGGACAAUGGGCGAAAGCCUGAUCCAGCCAUGCCGCGUGUGUGAAGAAGGUCUUCGGAUUGUAAAGCACUUUAAGUUGGGAGGAAGGGCAGUAAGUUAAUACCUUGCUGUUUUGACGUUACCGACAGAAUAAGCACCGGCUAACUCUGUGCCAGCAGCCGCGGUAAUACAGAGGGUGCAAGCGUUAAUCGGAAUUACUGGGCGUAAAGCGCGCGUAGGUGGUUUGUUAAGUUGGAUGUGAAAGCCCCGGGCUCAACCUGGGAACUGCAUCCAAAACUGGCAAGCUAGAGUACGGUAGAGGGUGGUGGAAUUUCCUGUGUAGCGGUGAAAUGCGUAGAUAUAGGAAGGAACACCAGUGGCGAAGGCGACCACCUGGACUGAUACUGACACUGAGGUGCGAAAGCGUGGGGAGCAAACAGGAUU